rnacentral:rRNA from 1 species
CAGCCGCCGCGGUAAUACGUAGGUGGCAAGCGUUGUCCGGAAUUAUUGGGUGUAAAGCGCGCGCAGGCGGAUCAGUUAGUCUGUCUUAAAAGUUCGGGGCUUAACCCCGUGAGGGGAUGGAAACUGCUGAUCUAGAGUAUCGGAGAGGAAAGUGGAAUUCCUAGUGUAGCGGUGAAAUGCGUAGAUAUUAGGAAGAACACCAGUGGCGAAGGCGACUUUCUGGACGAAAACUGACGCUGAGGCGCGAAAGCCAGGGGAGCGAACGGGAUUAGAUACCCCCGUAGUCCCUGUCUCUUAUACA